rnacentral:tRNA from 1 species
GCGCCGUUAGCUCAGCUGGCAGAGCAACAGCCUUUUAAGCUGAUGGUCGCUGGUUCGAUUCCAGCACGGCGCA